UCUUUUUGUGCCGAUCUGUCAACUAACUGGCCGGUGCUAACCCCAUGAUGCCUUGAGGAAACUUGUCAAAUCAAACACAGAAGCCCAUUCACCACUUCGUGUUUAGCCAAACUCGCCCGCCUCGCUCGAGAACAACGGGCAGAAUGUGGACGUAAACAGACGACCGCUGUACAGAAGACUAAGCAUAAUUCCACGCAGACGUUAUCUAUAAACUGCAUAGCAGAUUGUAACCAUCAUCGUUUUCUGUCAAUUCAUCAAAUUAGCGCCAAUUGGUUUCAACACAAUUUUACUGCAUAGGCGGCUAUCGAGUGGGUUUGUCUCCUGAGAGCCAAUAGGGAAGCGAGCCUGCAAAUGGAAAUAAACAUCAAGUUUGCUUGACUCGCAUUCGUAGCCCCGCCUGUAGAACCAGUAGAAUUGUCCAAUGGGAAGUGCAGGAGCGGAGUGGUGUGAUAUGACGUCACAACUGUGAGCCUGGGAUUACAUCAUGAUUUUUGCAGUUUGAAGAGCAACAGGGAAAUUACCCGAUGUCGAUAUGUGUAGUAAUCAAAUUUUAAUUAUUUGAGUCAUCAAAAAGCAAAGUUUAAAAAUAAUUACAAAAUACAUCGUUUUAAAAACAAAUAGUGUCACAUGUACAUAAAGCUUUGCGGCACUUUUUGUCAUAGACAUGUCAAACAUGCCUUUUUGGAACCAUGCCAGUGUUACAACACGCAUGUGUUUAUGGUACGUUGUGGGAGAUUCAACUAUCGAUUGUACUCACAAAAAGUUGAGUAUUUCCUUGUUCACUUACAAUUGGUAUUAAAACAGUCCUCUCCAACAUGAGCCCAAGACCGGCACCUAACAAUUAACAAUUCUUGGUGGCACGUGGCCAACCGAGUUUGGUUUGAUUAAGGCUGCGUUAGACACAUAUAAUCAUAUCAAUAUCAUUUCUAGUAGUAGUGUGGUGAUUAAUAAGUGGAAAGGAAUGUGCAGGCUACAUUAAUUGGUUUUCUUCAAAGUAUUGUGGAACAGGAUGUCCAGACAGGGAGGACAUCUCAAGGCCGAUGGGGAACGCGAAUAACAACUCGUCUUUGUGGUCCAGACACCUGUGCUGAGCAGGGGAAAACCCAAACGAGGAGGAGAUGACCAUCAACCAUCGACCAAUCACCACACAAUAUUUUGCAUGCUUGAAUAUUCAUAUUGUGUUUCUUUAAAACUGGGCAACUCGGAAGAAUGUGUUGUCUCUGAUGGCGCCUGUAUUAGCUUGCUUUGUCAGGAUUAAACAAUUGGUAAAUUCGGCCUAAUUGAUA